ensembl:lncRNA
CUGAGUUCUCCCUUUUGUUGUAGUAGGCGUCUUGCGGGGGCACGGGAUGUACGGGACAGGCCUCUCCCUAAACAUAGAGAGAUAGUGCUAUCGUGCUGACCUUGUUGCAGAGAAAACAGGAGAAGAAGAAGGAUGAUAAAAGAAUGUGGAAAUGGCCAAAUAAGGCACAAUGUUAUCUGGUGUGAACUAAUCAGAGUGGGACAUGACAGCACGGUUAUCUAGGUAAAAAUGUAUAUAAGCUGUGUUUAGUAGUGAAUAAACGCCAUUUGCCUCACUUACUCCUGGGGUCUGGGUGAGCAUCUGGCCCCGACCUGGUAAAGGGUCGGUUUCGCCCAGCAGUAAGCCCUACAUGUGGACAGAGGACGAACACCGGACGAGCGAACGGAGACUACAUGCAACAAGUGGUGACCCCGACGUGAUCUGUCUGCUGAGGGUGGCUGCCCGGCGUGCCCGUGACGCGGAGAAGAGCCUGUGAGGUGGCGGCAGGUCGCAUACGUAACAAUGGACCAAGUCAUUAAGACCGAAGCCAACUCCAGAACAACUGAGGGACAGACGAUGGGAUCAAGAACCACUCGUCAAGAGGAGCACUACACCUGCAACGCUGACACUUCCGAUGUUGCUGAUAUUUAUGGUGUCCAUGGCGAUUACAGAGUGUCACAAACAACUACAAUGGACACAAGAACAUAUGCAGAAAAUUAAAGAAGAGCGUGAUCCCUUUGAAAGCUGGCUGGACGGACUGUUUGGGGGAACGGGUUCAUGGUUAAAGCAAUUGCUUAAAGCUCUCGCAGUAGGAUUUGCAAUCUUUGUGUGUAUUCUAAUCCGUCUUCCAUGCUUUGUAGGAUGCUUGCCUUCAACGAAUGAUGGACAAGACUUUUGACUAUCACAUUGAGUAUCAUAGAUUGCGUGAAAAAUUAUAGAGGGGUUUAGGUUGUUGCGUUCGUGCUGUAACGGGGCAAGGCUUGGCCGAGCACGGAAAAGAAUUCCCUGUUGCUCUGAUGAUUGCUUAAGAACUGUAGUAGAAAAUAGUAGGAAUAGUGUGCUGAAAUAUAUUUAGGAUUAGGCGUUUUGCGCUGCUUCGCGAUGUACGGGUUAGGUGUGUGUGUAAGUAGUAUUUAGCUUAGGGAGGGGGAGAUGUUGUAGUAGGCGUCUUGCGGGGGCACGGGAUGUACGGGACAGGCCUCUCCCUAAACAUAGAGAGAUAGUGCUAUCGUGCUGACCUUGUUGCAGAGAAAACAGGAGAAGAAGAAGGAUGAUAAAAGAAUGUGGAAACGGCCAAAUAAGGCACAAUGUUAUCUGGUGUGAACUAAUCAGAGUGGGACAUGACAGCACGGUUAUCUAGGUAAAAUGUAUAUAAGCUGUGUUUAGUAGUGAAUAAACGCCAUUUGCCUCACUUACUCCUGGGGUCUGGGUGAGCAUCUGGCCCCGACCUGGUAAAGGGUCGGUUUCGCCCAGCAGUAAGCCCUACAUGUGGACAGAGGACGAACACCGGACGAGCGAACGGAGACUACAUGCAACACCUUUUUAUUCAACUACCCCCCUCUCCUAAUCUCUGCACGCUUUGGAGAUUUUGUAGCUCAGAAUUCUGAAAUAUCCAUACAACAUUUGUUCUAUGUAAUUAAGAAUAUGUAGAAUGCUAAAAAUACAC